UUACACAUGGUUGGGGAGGCCUUAAAAUCCUGUUGGAAGACAAAUGAGGAGCAAAGUCAGAUAUCACAUGACAGUAGGCAAGGGAGAGUGUGCAGGGGAACUCUUCUUUAUAAAAUGACCAGAUCUUGUGAAACAUAUUCACUAUCAUGAGAACUGCAUGGGAAAGACUCACAUCCAUGAUUCAAUUACCUCCAACUGGGUCCCUUCCAUGACAUAUGGGAAUUAUGGGAGCUACAA
rnacentral:lncRNA from 1 species